rnacentral:ncRNA from 1 species
UGAUAAGAGCAGCCCUGCUGAAAAGCAGGUACGCAAAGCUAUAGGGUCUAACACUCUUCUUAAGGGUUAUGAUAGCCAGUUACCGC